GGGUGACAGAGCAAGACUCUGCUGAGGUAGGAGAAUCGCUUGAACCUGGGAGGCGGGGGUUGUGGUAAGCCGAGACUGUGUCAUUGCACUCCAGCCUGGGCGACAAGAGCGAAACUCUGUCUCAAAAAAAAAAAAAAACACAUUACAGUGUUUGCCAACAUCCUAAAACAAAAAAUAAUGAUUUUUGGGAAAAACAAAAAAUUAUUUAACUAUUUUGAUUGACUAUAGGGAUCUUAGCUUGGCUAAAUCAACAAUAUAGCAAUGUAUCUUAAUGCUCUAAAAAGUAACAAUACCUAGGACUGACUGAAUGUUAAUUUCUGGAAUUCAUUUAUCUUGUUUUAUUUGCCUUGUUCAGUAUUUUUCAUUUACCAUAUGAAGUUUAGAAAUAACAAUUUCCUUAAGUUAACUUCAAUAAGACAGUUUUGAUGGUGGGACCUUGGCAGAAGUAUAUUGAGUCAGUGCCGGCUGCGUUCAUGGCUUCUUGUCAGGGUAGUAACAUUUUGCAACCAAAUCUGCACAGAUUUGUAGCCAAGUCUACAAAGUGCUUAACAGCUCUUUUCAUUGCAUCCUGUGAGAUGGUUGUGAUGAUCCAGGAAAUGGGGUCUCAGGAAUCUGAAGAAGCUGCCUGAGCCAAGGUGAUUUCUAGGAGUUUUUUUGUUUGUGGUAUGUGAAUUGGGGUGUGUGGGGGUGGGGUGUGUGUGUAGACAGGGUCCCACUGUGUUGCUCAGGCUGGUGCCAAACUCCUGGCCUCAAGGGAUCCUCCUGCCUCAGCCUCUCAAAGUGCUGGGAUUACAGGCAUAAACCACAACUCAAUAAAAAAGUUUUUAAAAAUUUACAAAGCUCAUAUUUGAUCCAGCUAGGAUUUUACCCUGUACAUUUGUAUUUCUUGUAGGCUGGCGCACAGAUAUCUUAAAUGGCUACUAAUUGCUGCUGUGUAUGAAAACAAAUGGCUAUCAAGGCCGGGUGCAGUGGCUUACAGAUCUGGUCUGAAUCUCAAGUCCAGACCAGUCCAGAGUUCAAGACCAGCCUGGGCAACAUGGUGAAACCCCAUCUAUACAAAAACUCGGCAAGGCAUGGUGGCAUGCACCUGUUGUCCCAGCUACUCAGGGGCUGAGGCAGGAGGAUGGCAUGAGCCCAGGAGCUUGAGGCUGCAGUGAGCUGUGAUUGUGCCACUGCACUCCAGCCUGAGUGACAGAGUGAGACCCCCAUCUCCAAAAGAAAAGGCUAUCAAUACAAAAGUUUAUCUAAAUUACUGUACAGCUAUACAAUGGAAUACUCUACAAAAUGGAGAGAUCCAUAAGAUAAAGCAAAUGAAUAAAGCAAAAUGCAUGUGUUGACAGCUGUUGUGAUACCUCAGUUCUUGUCUUCUUGGUUUAAAAGAAUUUAAAUGAGACAGCAAAGGAGAUGCAGCAUAAUUUAUUGCAAAAGAAAAGGAGUAUUUUGAAAGUUAGGUGCAGAACAGACAGUACACCUGAGAGAGAGAAUUCAGGGCCGGCUGCUCGUAAGGGUGAGACAGCAUUGAUUAUUGCUGGAGAAACUCCCUUUAUGGGAGUUUUGCAUUAUUAUUCAUAAGGAGGUGAGGUGUUGCAGUAAUCAUGUCCUGGGUGGUCCUCUGCACAGGUGCAGUAGCUGUUAAUGCUUGUUCAUACACCACAUGUCUCAGUAGCAUCUUAAAUUUCCACCUAGAGGUGUGUUUUUUAUUAUUAUCAUGUGCAAAGGAUCAGUUUGAGGACAGGUAAAAUCAAAAUGUGUAUGCUCUCUAGAAGGGAAAGUCCCUACUGAAGAUAGCUUUGCUUAAAUGAGCUCAAUUACAAUGUGAAUGCUGAGGUUUAUUGUGUUGGCUGUAUGGUCAUGAGAAAAUGGUCAUUUCCUUGACUACCUGAUACGGUUUGGCUGUGUCCCCACCCAAGUCUUAUUUUGAAUUGUAAUCCCCAUAAUUCCCACAUGUUGAAGGAGGGACUUGGUGGUAGGUGACUGGAUCAUGGGGGUGGUAUCCCCCAUGCUGUUCUCAUGAUUGUGAGUUCUCACGAGAUCCAAUGGUUUUAUACAUGGUAGUCUCUCCUGCUGCCAUGUAAAACAUGCCUGCUUCCCCUUCUGCCAGGAUUGUAAGUUUCCUGAGGCCUGCCCAGCCAUGUGGAGCUAUGAGUCAAUUAAAC
rnacentral:lncRNA from 10 species